rnacentral:rRNA from 1 species
GUGAACGCUGGCGGUAGGCCUAACACAUGCCAGUCGAACGGCAGCACCGUAAGAGCUUGCUCUUACGGGUGGCGAGUGGCGGACGGGUGAGGAAUACAUCGGAAUCUACUUUUUCGUGGGGGAUAACGUAGGGAAACUUACGCUAAUACCGCAUACGACCUACGGGUGAAAGCAGGGGAUCUUCGGACCUUGCGCGAUUGAAUGAGCCGAUGUCGGAUUAGCUAGUUGGCGGGGUAAAGGCCCACCAAGGCGACGAUCCGUAGCUGGUCUGAGAGGAUGAUCGGCCACACUGGAACUGAGACACGGUCCAGACUCCUACGGGAGGCAGCAGUGGGGAAUAUUGGACAAUGGGCGCAAGCCUGAUCCAGCCAUACCGCGUGGGUGAAGAAGGCCUUCGGGUUGUAAAGCCCUUUUGUUGGGAAAGAAAAGCAGCAGGUUAAUACCCCGCUGUUCUGACGGUACCCAAAGAAUAAGCACCGGCUAACUUCGUG